CUGCGCAAUGUUUUACGAAUGUAUUAAUUUGUCAUCAGUGAUUUCAGAUGAGACGCUGGACUUUCUUUUGGUUAUAGAUCAAACCCCAGUUGGCAGUGCUGCGGUCGCCGACGUGGCAGAGUGCGGGAAAGGGAAUCAGAGGAGAAGUAAGAGGUUGCAGCAUGAGAUCAUAGGAGUCACACUGAGGCACGUGCACUGAAAUGACCUUGACCUCUAACACCUUUGCUCUUGCAUGAGAGAACACCUUUUUGUGGCUUUGGAUGAAAAAAAGCAAGAGAAGGAGAUGAGAAAUAAAGAGCAUGGCGCCAUCCUUCACCAUUAUUAUCGGGUUUUUGGAGGGGACUCUGCUAUGGCACACUAAAAAAGGUCCUCUUUGAAAAGAAGGUUUUCAGAUUCGGACCCCUUGAGAACAGAAUGAUUAAUUUAGCACAAGGAAUAAUACUUUGGAUGAUAAAAGGAAUACAUUUAUCUUUUUUGCUUUCAUCCGGUCGUCUCUGACUGUGUGCGGGGGAGCCCGGGAAACCUUGAGGGAAAUUGAACCAUACAAAUUCAGUCUGGAAUCCCUUCAAAUGGAUCCAAAGCCAUGAGAGUGUGCUGGAGCAUCUCUGGUUUAGCAUGUAUGGAGUGAGGGGGAUUCAGUGCAGCUCUAUUGAUGUGGCACACUGGGCUGUAAUCUCAUUAGUAUGCUAUAAGGCUGACCCGACAGUGCUCGCCAUGCUCACGGCAUUAUGGAGGAGAGAAGAGUGGGCCACACAGCCCAGCAUCACAUCCAUCCAUUUGACACAUUUAGAACUCCUCUCACACUGUCCCCUCAAACACUCUCCUCCUUUUCCUUUUAUAUCAGGCCCUUAAUCACAUGUUCAGAUGUUAAGACUGCUCAUCUAGUAGCUUUUUUCGAUAUUUGUUCUUUUUUGCAUCUAAUCUCACUUUUAUCUCUCCCUCUUUUAUCCCCCUGUAUCACUAUACUUCCUCCAUCUUUGUCACUGAAAGCGUGUCUAUGAAAGCUUGUUGUCUUUCUCUCCGUCUAUCACCUCUCUUCCUUCUCGUGCUUUCAAAUCUCACACCUUUUAUCCCGAUCAGUCUCUCUGACUCAGUGUUAGUGUGUGAGAAUCAAGAUAAAAACACACCGAAACACAAUGAUGGGGAAUUGCCUCCCUAUACAUUUUCGCUUUACAAUGUGGAGGUGGCCGCCUUCUCCAUCGCAUCAUCUCUGUGCCUUAUCUCUGCUCUGCCGAGUGUAAAUAUUUAAAGAAGGCUCCAGGAGCAGAGCUGGUAGCAUCUCUGCAGACCGCCCUUCCCAACUGCCCACAUUAUCCACAGGCGAUGUGAUGGAGAGCCCAGUGUGCAAAUUGUAGAAUCACUUAGAUCGACUUUUUAAAGGAAAUGUUAUAGGAUAUUUUCCGUUUAGGUUUGCUUACAUACUGUCUUUGGCUUUACUAGCACGUUUGCUAACAAUCCUAAAGGGAUAGUUCAUCUCAAAUCGAUAUUUAGUUAUUUACUCAAGCUCAUGACACAAACCUGGAUGACUGUCCAGUCUUUCACUAUACAGACAAAAAACUGAGACAUUGUUCAAAAUUUCUUCUAUUAGGUCGACAGGAGGGUGAAAUAUCUUUUUAAAUGUGUUUUUUCCUCUAAUGACAGUAUUUAUAGUUUUAUCACAGUUUAGUCUGAUGGUAAUCCUAACUAGAAGGUACGCCAGCAGCCUGCUGUUGCUAUGGUUACCUCAGGAGAACACAAAAUCUUCAACUUUUGUGUUUGUUGAGAAGCUAGAAAACCAUGUUUAAGCAUGUAUUUAUAUAAAACCUCCUGCAUACUUUGUAUUUUUACAUGUCUUUGGAGGUCCAUGCUUUAAUUAGCAGGGUCAGACCUCAUAAUUUGCACCCAUGGAGAACCCUAGUCUUGCCAUCAUCAUGUGUAAUAGGCAGGGCAAAUGAGGUGGGAUUUGGGUUGUUCAUAGCAGUCAUUACCACGUCCCCCCUUCACUUCUGUGCUUUUACCAAUGAGGACCACACUGAGCCUCAAGAUAUGAAACCUGACACUUGCCUCAAAUACACACAUAAACAUUCUUUAAAGCAAUAUAGUGCUCAUCCAGCCUACAGCCACUGUUAUUACACCCCAGCCCCCCGUGCUUGUGAUUUUAUUAAUAAUAGAAAAGAGGCAAUAUAUCCUUCUGUUGUGGAAGGUAUAUGAGGUUAAGCAUGUUCUCUUGCUAAUUCUACGUUGAGAUUUUAAUAAAGAAAAGAUGCAUAAGCCAGUGUCAUAGAGGCACUGCAGUGCAAAUAGCACACAGGGAGGCACAUUUGGCUGAAUACUGAUAAUAAUGGUGUCUGUUACGACUGGUAUUUACAUAGAAUUAAAAUGAAUGGCUAAUGUCCUGGGAAUGUGCAAGCAUUAAAUCUAUGCUCACCACUUUGCUCCACUGUGUUAGUGAACCCCUUAGAACACUCCUCAGAGAUGCAUUUUUGCUUGAACAUUUCCAAUUUUCUUACAUAAAGUGGUGUCAAUAUGGAAGGCAGAUAUGAGGUGACAGUAGCAGCUACAUUAUUUUUGUUGUGAAUUAUUGUUGUAGUGAAACAAAAAUUUGUUUGUUUAUGUGACUUUGUAUUGCACACAUGCAAUAAUGUGCACUGUUUCUAAAUGGUCAUUCCGUUUUUAAAAGUAAUAUUUAAAUACAGUCUUCUGUUUAGGUUAU